rnacentral:rRNA from 1 species
AGAUUGAACGCUGGCGGCAGGCCUAACACAUGCAAGUCGAGCGGCAGCACGGGUACUUGUACCUGGUGGCGAGCGGCGGACGGGUGAGUAAUGCCUAGGAAUCUGCCUGGUAGUGGGGGAUAACGCUCGGAAACGGACGCUAAUACCGCAUACGUCCUACGGGAGAAAGCAGGGGACCUUCGGGCCUUGCGCUAUCAGAUGAGCCUAGGUCGGAUUAGCUAGUUGGUGAGGUAAUGGCUCACCAAGGCGACGAUCCGUAACUGGUCUGAGAGGAUGAUCAGUCACACUGGAACUGAGACACGGUCCAGACUCCUACGGGAGGCAGCAGUGGGGAAUAUUGGGACAAUGGGCGAAAGCCUGAUCCAGCCAUGCCGCGUGUGUGAAGAAGGUCUUCGGAUUGUAAAGCACUUUAAGUGGAGAAGGCAGUUACCUAAUACGUAUCUGUUUGACGUUACGACAGAAUAGCACCGGCUAACUCUGU